rnacentral:rRNA from 1 species
UACGAAGGGGGCGAGCGUUGUUCGGAUUUACUGGGCGUAAAGAGCGCGCAGGCGGUCGUUCAAGUCGCGUGUGAAAGCCCCCGGCUCAACUGGGGAGGGUCACGCGAUACUGAUCGACUCGAAGGCAGGAGAGGGAAGUGGAAUUCCCGGUGUAGUGGUGAAAUGCGUAGAUAUCGGGAGGAACACCAGUGGCGAAGGCGACUUCCUGGCCUGUUCUUGACGCUGAGGCGCGAAAGCUAGGGGAGCAAACGGG